CAAGGCCUGGCACGGUCUGCUCAUCCCCUCCCUGCCCGCACCACACGAGGCACGGGACCACCUCAGGGCCUCUGCACAGGCGGUGCCCUUUGCCUGGAAUGCCCUUCCCCACGUCUGGGCAUGGCGGCCUCCCUCAGUUUGUUCAAACCUCCCUGCUCACUGCACCUCGCACCCCAACACUCCCAACCCCCUGGAGCUGCGGCAGGCUUGUGCCCACCACACUAUCUUCCCACAUGCUCUAGAUUUCAUCAGGAUUGUUACUUACUGUCUCUCUUCUCCAACCAGAAUACAGAGCAUGGAUCUCUGCCUUGUUUAUUCGCUAAUGAAUCCCAAGUGCUACUAACAGUUCCUGUCACUGAGAAACUGUCCAAUAAACACCUGUCAAAUGACUGAAUGUGGGAGCCAGGGGCACACUGGGAAGGUGUGUGCACCAGCCAGAGGGCACAGAUCAGCAAAAACGUGCCUUGGGGAGUGCAGAACUUGUGUCUGUGAGGGUAAGAGUUUGGGGAUGAGGAACCACAAAUGAAACUGCAAAACUUUUCAGUAAAGGGCCGGAUAGUAAGGAUUUUAGCCUUUACAGGCCACAAGUGAUCUCUGUCACAUCUUCGUUUUUGUUUCUUUAAAAAAAAAAAAAUUAAAAAUAGAAAACCACGCAGCACGUAAACAAAGGGCAGGUUCCAGAUAACUGGCAAUGGGCACUUUCCCAGGGGCCAUGAAUUUGGCCCAGGGAGUCUGGGGAGCAGCUGAUGUGUACAAAGCUCUUACUAGCAGUGCCCUUUAUUUAUUUUUAUUUAUUUAUUUUUUUGAGAUGGAGUUUCGCUCUGUCCCCAGGCUGGAGUGCAGUGGCACAAUCUCGGCUCACUGCAAGCUCCGCCUCGUGGGUUCAAGCGAUUCUCCUGCCUCAGCCUCCUGAGUAGCUGGGAGGCGCCCACCACCACGCCCAGCUAAUCUUUUGUAUUUUUAGUAAGGACGGGGUUUCACCAUGUUGGCCAGGAUGGUCUGGAUCUCUUGACCUCAUGAUCCACCCGCCUUGGCCUCCCAAAGUGCUGGAAUUACAGGCAUGAGCCACCGCACCCGGCCCUAGCAGUGCCCUUUAUAGGUGCCGACUCAUUCGAUCCUCGCAAAGGCCCUGGAGGUAGACACUGUUAUUACCGCACUGGUGCAAUGGUGGACUGAGGGUUAGCUCUGCUUUGCAGGCAUGGGUAUGGGUGUGGGUGUGCAGGCUGAGAGUGUGUCCACGAUGGUGUGGAAGUGCCCCGGCUUCCCACACACGCAUGCACGCGGGUGCAUGUCCACCAUGCCCAGGAUGGGCCCCGGCCCCACCCACCCGAUGGCCGGGCCCAC
rnacentral:lncRNA from 1 species